rnacentral:lncRNA from 1 species
AUGGCUGGAACCCUGGCAGAGAGGAGCCUGGAGUGUCGAAAGAGGGGCAUCACAGAACAGAUGCAUCCUACAAACUGGAGGACUCCGAGCUUGGGGAAGAGACAGUUAAAGCUUCCCCGUGAGAGCGAGUUAUAUCAUGCAGCGCCAGUGCCAGGUCAGCAGUCUGGCUGGAGCUGGACCGGCUGGUGGCGCCAGGCAGUGCCAAGCACCCCUGGCAGCCCUGCAGAGGGUUCUCAAAUCCAGAUUUCAUUCUGCAGUCCCGGCAGUGCUUUGACGACUGCCUCACUAAAGGAAGCUAAAAGCUGUGCCGAUGCCUCCCAGACGAGCCUCGUUGGAAGCACAGAACCUUCACGACUCGGAGCCGCUGACACGGUGACAAAGGGAGCCCUGCUCAGAGAGGAUUAUUGGCAACUGGCACCACCCCCACGUCUGGAGGAGGGACGUUUCUAGGAUGACCCUCAGAGUGGAAAAAUAGCCGAGAUAACAAAAUGUAUCUACCCUCUCCAAGAGUGUAAACUAACCUGGUGGCUGGAAAAAACAAACAAACAAACAAACAAACAAAGAUCUGUGAAGAAAGAUCUGACUUUUCAACUGGCACAUACCGUUCCUUGAAACAGAGGUGAUAAACAG